GAUGAAGAACGUAGCGAAAUGCGAUACGUAAUGUGAAUUGCAGAAUUCAGUGAAUCAUCAAAUCUUUGAACGCACAUUGCGCCUGCCAGCACUCUGGCAGGCAUGCCUGUUCGAGCGUCAUUUCAACCAUCAAGCCCUAGGCUUGCGUUGGAGCCCUGCGGCUGCCGCAGGCCCCUAAAAGCAGUGGCGGGCUCGCUAUCACACCGAGUGCAGUAGAUUACUCUUCGCUCAGGGCGUGUGGCGGGUUCCAGCCGUGAAACCCCCUACUUCUCAAGGUUGACCUCGGAUCAGGUAGGAAUACCCGCUGAACUUAAGCAUAUCAAUAAGCGGAGGA
rnacentral:misc_RNA from 1 species